UGUUCUGUGGUUUAGUUGGUUAAAGCGCCAGUCUAACGAAUACGGAGUCGUGGGUUCAAAUCUCACUAGAACGC
rfam:Aedes albopictus isolate Foshan contig6730, whole genome shotgun sequence.